CCUACGGGCGGCUGCAGUGGGGAAUAUUGGACAAUGGGGGGAACCCUGAUCCAGCCAUGCCGCGUGUGUGAAGAAGGCCCUCGGGUUGUAGAGCACUUUCAGUGAGGAAGAACGCCUGGUGGUUAAUACCCAUCAGGAAAGACAUCACUCACAGAAGAAGCACCGGCUAACUCCGUGCCAGCAGCCGCGGUAAUACGGAGGGUGCGAGCGUUAAUCGGAAUUACUGGGCGUAAAGCGCGCGUAGGUGGCUUGAUAAGCCGGUUGUGAAAGCCCCGGGCUCAACCUGGGAACGGCAUCCGGAACUGUCAAGCUAGAGUGCAGGAGAGGAAGGUAGAAUUCCCGGUGUAGCGGUGAAAUGCGUAGAGAUCGGGAGGAAUACCAGUGGCGAAGGCGGCCUUCUGGACUGACACUGACACUGAGGUGCGAAAGCGUGGGUAGCAAACAGGAUUAGAUACCCUAGUAGUC
rnacentral:rRNA from 1 species